GACGAACGCUGGCGGCGCGCCUAACACAUGCAAGUCGAACGGAGCUGAGAGGAGCUUGCUUUUCUUAGCUUAGUGGCGAACGGGUGAGUAACGCGUGAGUAACCUGCCCUGGAGUGGGGGACAACAGUUGGAAACGACUGCUAAUACCGCAUAAGCCCACGGCCCGGCAUCGGGCUGCGGGAAAAGGAUUUAUUCGCUUCAGGAUGGACUCGCGUCCAAUUAGCUAGUUGGUGAGGUAACGGCCCACCAAGGCGACGAUUGGUAGCCGGACUGAGAGGUUGAACGGCCACAUUGGGACUGAGACACGGCCCAGACUCCUACGGGAGGCAGCAGUGGGGGAUAUUGCACAAUGGGGGAAACCCUGAUGCAGCGACGCCGCGUGGAGGAAGAAGGUUUUCGGAUUGUAAACUCCUGUCGUUAGGG
rnacentral:rRNA from 1 species